UCCUUGUAACAGGAAGUGAGUGUUUUGUGGCAAAAGGGAAAAUAGUUCAUCGGAUCGUGAAAUGGAAUUAAUUAACGUUUGCUCAAAAUAGGUGACAGAUAUGUCUGAAGUCCCAGCAUAUUUGAGGGGUAGAGGGAGAGGAAGAGGUAAUGCUCCUGCUCCUGAUGGUAAAGGGUGGGGCUCCCAACUUUGGGGCGGUGACAACACUGGCAACAACAAGAUCAAAGGCUUCGGACAGAGACACAGUGAUACAGCCUCUAAUGGACUUCAAGACCAGAAAGGAGAUGCCAGAGGAAAGAAACAAGACAAAAGUGGGAAGAAAGGCGACAGUGGUGCUAUGAAAGGAGAUAGUAUCGAGGAGAAAGGAGACGGUGGUGAGAAGUUCCGUCAGGCCAGUGUACAGCACCAACAAGCCAUACAGCAGUAUCUUCAGGAUCAGCCACAGUCCAACGACAAUGACUCUUCAGAGGACGAGGAUGACAUCGGCAAUAAUAUCCUCUCUUCUGUCUUCAAAUCCUAUUCUUCCUCUAUUGGUGAGGAUGAGAAGGACAUCAACCAAGCCCAGGAGGACCUGGUCUACUCCUUCAGGUCCGGCGUGUCGGCCUGCCUCGUCUGUAUAGAGACAAUAAAGAAGAAUGAACCUAUUUGGAACUGUAAGGGCUGCUGUGCAAUGUUCCACAUGCAGUGUAUACAGAAGUGGGUAAAGGAAGGUGUGUACCAGCAUAUGUACCGGUCAGAGGAGGAUCAUAUUCCCAAGGAUCUACCUUGGUAUUGUCCAAAGUGUCGCUUGGAGUACAAGCCGUAUGAGUGCCCAACCCGCUACAUGUGUUUCUGUGGGAGAGAAGAGGACCCCAAGUUUGACCCCUGGUUAGUUCCUCACUCCUGUGGUCAGACCUGUGGACGUCAGCUCAAACCUGAGUGUGGUCACACCUGUCUGCUGCUUUGUCAUCCAGGUCCAUGUCCACCGUGUCCAAAGACAGUCAAGACUCGAUGUUACUGUGGUCAGCAAGUACCUGUUGUCAAGAGGUGUAGUGCUAAGACAUGGGCUUGUGGUCAGCCAUGCGGCCAAACUCUGACUUGUGGCCAUCACAAGUGUCAACAACCAUGUCAUGCCGGUGACUGUGCCCCUUGCCCUAAAACCAGUGAGCAGAAAUGUCAGUGUGGAAAGUCAUCUUCAGUACGGCCAUGUGCUACACCCAAGUGGCAGUGUGCACAGGCUUGUGGGAAAAGACUGAGUUGUGGUAGCCAUGUUUGUGAAAGAAGUUGUCACAGCGAAACUUGUGGUUCAUGUCCUAGGGCUGGGGCCAGGACGUGUCCAUGUGAAAAGACAGAAUACAUGUUGCCGUGUACAGAAGAUGUGCCAACUUGUGGUGACACCUGUGGCAAGUUGUUGGACUGUGGAAUCCAUGAAUGUUCGCAGCGCUGUCAUGUGGGGCCUUGUGGAACAUGUCGCCAAAUGAUAAAGAAAAAAUGUCGAUGUGGACAGAAGCAGAAAGAGAUCCCUUGCUGCAAGGAGUAUCUGUGUGACACAAAAUGUAGUACCACAAGGGACUGUGGUAGACAUCAGUGUAAGAGGAAGUGCUGUGAUGGGAACUGUCCUUUCUGUGAACAGACCUGUGGUAAACUUCUUGGCUGUAAAAACCACAAAUGUUCUAGUCGCUGUCACAAAGGUGCCUGCUACCCUUGUCCUCUCACAGUAGAGAUCACCUGUUUCUGUAAGACCACCAGGAUCACUGUUCCCUGUGGUAGAGAGAAGUUCACCAGGCCACCUAGGUGUAAACAAGCAUGCAGACUGCCUCCUAAAUGCCACCACCCUGAGCAGAUCCCCCACCGCUGCCACUUCGGUGACUGUCCGCCCUGCCGUUUGAUGUGUGCCAAGGUUCAUCAGUGUGGCCACAUUUGUCCUGUUGGCUGUCACACAGCCGUCAGAGUCAAGGUCAAAGACAAUGUACAGAGAGCUGGCCCCUGGGAGGGGCGCCCCACCGUGAGGGAUGAGAUCGUGGACAAGGUGUGUCCUCCGUGUCUGGUACCGAUACCUGUUACAUGUCUCGGUGGACAUGAGACUUGCAACAUUCCCUGUUUCAAGGCAAAGCCAGAUUCUUGUAUGAGAAACUGUGGCAGACAGAUGUCUUGUGGAAACCAUACCUGUUCCCUUUCCUGUCACCUGGUACGGGGGGCACCAGAUAAUGUACAGGCAGGUGAAACGUGUGAGGUAUGCGAGUCUCACUGUCUGAAGCCCCGCCCGCAGGGUUGUACCCAUGCCUGCUCGCUCCUUAAGUGUCAUUCUGGAGACUGCCCUCCAUGCCAGCAAAUGAACCGCACACGAUGCCACUGUGAGCUGACCGUACAACACAUUAACUGUGAUAGGUGGUUGAAUGCAGACCAGGCCACAAAGGACAGCAUGAAGUCCUGUAAGGGGGAGUGCCCGAAAAAUAUGCCAUGUGGCCAUGCAUGUGGCACCACCUGUCAUGCAGGACCGUGCCCACGUAUUGGUCUGUGUGAGAAGAAAAUCACAAUGAGAUGCAAGUGUCGCAACAGGAAGCAGGAACUGAUGUGUAAAAUGGUGCCGGACCGCCAGGUGAAGCUCGAGUGUACUGAAGCAUGUCAAAAGGAGAAGGAAAGGAAGAAAAAGGGAGAAGAGGAGAAAGAAAAAUCCAAGUUAGAGGAAGAGCGCCUGAAGAACCAGGCUGAGAUAGAGGAAUACGAGAGGAAGAUGAAAGGAGGGAAGAAACGAAAACCACGCAAGCAGCACGAAGUCAAGGUUCAGCAGUCCUUUAUACAAAAAUAUAGUAAAUAUUUGGCUAUAUCUGUUGUUGUAGGUGUAUUGGCUGUCUUUGCCUAUCACCUUUUUCAGAUGUAGGUACAAUCGUGACAGUGAUGUAGGUACUAUCGUGACGGUGAAGCUGUCUUCAUAAAAUUAUUCUACUGAGAAACACACUUCAGCUUUUAAAAAAAUAAGAAAUUUGUCGGAACUUUUUUUUCUGUAACCACCAUUUUAAUCUAAGGAGACAGAUGGAUUAAAGUAUAAUCCAAUUAUUAUUUUCUUAAGAAUAGGAUACAACUAAUGUUAAAAGAAGAACAGGUAGUUCCUAUCAAACUGAUAAUUUAUUUUGUUUAUAAUCUUCAUUCCCACAAUCUCAUCAUAGAAUAAUCUCUGCUACCUUCCUGGUACGGCCUGAUGAACUGAAAUGUAUGUAAUGUGGUGGUGGUGCAAUCUCCAACAAUGUCAGUUGACAUCCAAUUAAGAUUAUAGGUAUGGGGUAUCAUCUUUACUUUCUUGUAUUUCAAGGCUAAUAUGAUGUCUGUGGUGGUUGUUGCCUAAUGUGUACAUGUAUGGGAUAUAUGGUCAGUCGUCAGUCUAGUUGUUGGUCGUGGACACGUCUGUGGUGUUUGUAUUUAUGAGAUGUAGUUGGGUAAACGUUUGAGAUGAUCAAUUGUAUGAGGCAUAGUCGGGCAAACAUUUGAGAUGUUCAAUUGUAUGAGGCGUAGUCGGGUAAACGUUUGAGAUUUUCAAUUGUAUGAGAUGUAGUCGGGUAAACAUUUGAGAUGUUGAAUUGUAUGAGGCGUAGUCGGGUAAACGUUUGAGAUGAUCAAUUGUAUGAGGCGUAGUCGGGUUAACGUUAGAGAUAUUCAAUUGUAUGAGGCGUAGUCGGGUAAACGUUUGAGAUGUUCAAUUGUAUGAGGCGUAGUCGGGUAAACGUUUGAGAUGUUCAAUUGUAUGAGGCAUAGUCGGGUAAACAUUUGAGAUGUUGAAUUGUAUGAGGCGUAGUUGGGUAAACGUUUGAGAUGUUCAAUUGUAUGAGGCGUAGUCGGGUAAACGUUUGAGAUGUUCAAUUGUAUGAGGCGUAGUCGGGUAAACGUUUGAGAUGUACAAUUGUAUGAGGCGUAGUCGGGUAAACAUUUGAGAUGUACAAUUGUAUGAGGCGUAGUCGGGUAAACGUUUGAGAUAUUCAAUUGUAUGAGGCGUAGUCGGGUAAACGUUUGAGACGUUGAAUUAUUUACACGUCUGUGGUGUUUAACUGAUGUGUUGAUGUGUGGUAUAAGAGGUAAGAAUGGAAGUACAGAUCUUAGAGAGAGUUACUGUUGAAUAGAUAUGUAGAUAUACUGGAAUACUGAUUAACACACUUCUGAUCAACAUCUGUCACCUUUCUACAUGUAACUUUUACAAGUUCAAGUAUUUGCAAUAGCUAUUUUUCCUGAAAAUUAAAUUAUUUACAAGGACUCUUAAUACAAGUGUGUGAUUACAUGAGUUUUGGAUACUUAGAAUAAGGAGUGUGCUGCCUUGGUAUUUGGUAGCUGAUCCUAGUUUUUAGGCUACCGUAAAACCCCAAGUAAUUUGCGCAUCUAUGUAAUUUGCGCAGGUACUUUUUGAGGCUGAAAAUCCCCAAAAAAACUUCUCAAAUAUUUUGCGCACCAAAAUUUUUUUGAAAAAAAAAGAUGUUCAAGUUCUGAAAAUUGAUCUCUGAAAAUGAAUAACAAACCGCUUGGGAUUCUUAGGAUUUUUGUAAUUUGUUUAUUAUAAGUAAGUUCAUAAGUAUUGUUUACAGGUACAAUGAUGCUAAAAAUAAGAAGAAACUGCGUAAAAUGUGUAUUUUGUUGUUUGUUUCCUUUGAAAUAUCUUAUCUUAUUUUAUCUUGUGACCUUAUCUUGCUUUAUAGUACAGUACUAAUAUAUCCCCAUUUUCCUGCAGGCACAAUGUAAGACUUAAGUUAAAUGUCUGUACCCAAGUUUCCCUGAGUAUUUAGGUUUAUAAUUUACUUAAUUUCAUUUUCAGCAAUAAAAUAUGGAAAAAGUUUAGGUAAAAGUGUUAUCUUUCACUACAGAUUAGAUAUCAAAUAAAGUUAUCGUUAAUACUUAUGAAUGAUUCAAACUUCUUUUCCAGUCUCAGAAUGAAUAGGUUUCUGAAACCUAUAACUAGUUUCUAUGCAAUUUUGUCUUUUGCAAUGAUUUAGUAUAGUGAAUUAUGUUUUUUAGAUUUUCAUGUGCAAUUAAUCGUACACUAUUUUUUCCUCUACAGUUUCAUUUUGUCACUCUGGAAUAUGAAUCAGACAAAAAAAAAUCCAUGUCUAAAAUUAAAUACACAGAUAUGUUAACAAUGUUUUUCAUUUAACAUCAUUUAGCAUAUGUUUAGUGUAGAUGAUGAUUUAUUGUUAUUUAAACCUACUGCUUUGCACUCAUGAGAAUAUAAAAGUCAUAGGGAAAAACAUGUUUGAUAUUACAUGGGAAACCAUUGACUAUUCUAUAUUUCAUUUACUGGUAUCAUGAUAAGGAGCUCACAUUUCCUCUCAUUGGUAUCGAAGCAUGUGCUUGGAAAGUGUAUUUGAACUUUCCAAUUUCCAGUGUAGUUUUUCAGAUGUUACCACUACUGCCAUGACUUGUAUCAAUGCAAUUACCUGUCUGAUUCUGUCUAUCAGUAAUAUUUAUUAUUAAGGUUAGCAUCUGUAAGCAUGUGUGAUGGUUUUCUGUCUGUUUGGUAUGUAGCUUGCUUGGAUGAUGGGCUAUCCAAUGAAAUUAAAUAUCAAAAACUACCUUGACCCACUUUCACAAGUGUCACAUAUCUAAUUGAAAAUUAAAAUGGCUUCUACAACAAAAAAAACUCAUAUUCAUGAUAUUGAUUUGUAGCUUACUGGAAUCAAGAGCUAUCAAUUUUGAUCGAAGUAAUUGUUUGGACUGAUAUGCAAGAUCACAGAGGUCAAAUGUCUUGAAAUCUUCUCAAGCAUUUCAGCAAUAAGUAUAUUUUGUUAACUCUGUAAAAUAACAGACCCACUGGGCCUUUUUAUUUUGUGUUAAUCAUACGAGUUAGAAUAAAUAUGUAUGGAACAUCAUAAUACUGAAGUUUUAGCACUGCAUUAGAAUAUUAUCAGCUGUUGCUUCUAUACUGUUUUUUUUUUUUUUAUUGAAUAUCAUGAUAAAAGUAUGCUUGUAAGUUCCUUUAUCACUUACCUUGUCAACUACCAAAAACAUUCACUCACAACAUUAAUUCCAGACAAAUUUGUUCUGUUGUCAAUAUUUCUGUAGACAAAAUUAUUAUAGCAGUUGUUGAAGAAAGAUAUUGAACAAGUCAGUGUUUGUUGAUUUCUAUUAUUUAUUUGUAUGUGUUCCAUAUAUAUGCCAUAAGGUUACAUAACUGAGGUCAUGACCUCAUUCUCAUGGAGGGUUAGUGUAACAAUGUUUAACAAAAACGUGUUACUGCUGUUGGUCAAGAUCACAAAGGUUUAGAAGUUUAGUUGAAGGUAAUGGGAGUCAAGGUUACAGGGAGGAGGACUGUUACUUUAGAAGUCUGAAUCAAGGUCAUGAGGACAAGGUUACAGGGAGGAGGACUGUUACGUUAGAAGUCUGAAUCAAGGUCAUGAGGACAAGGUUACAGGGAGGAGGACUGUUACUUUAGAAGUCUGAAUCAAGGUCAUGAGGACAAGGGUACAGGGAGGAGGACUGUUACGUUAGAAGUCUGAAUCAAGGUCAUGAAAGGCAAGGUUACAGGGAGGAGGACUGUUACGUUACGUUACAAGUCUGAAUCAAGGUCAUGAGGGGCAAGGUUACAGGGGCAUGAAGGUUAUGUUACAUCAGAAGUCUGAAUCAAGGUCAUGAGGGGCAAGGUUAUAGGGGGAGGACUUAUGUUACGUUAGAAGUCUGAAUCAAGGUCAUGAGGGGCAAGGUUACAGGGGGGAGGACUUUUAUGUUACAUUAUAAGUCUGAAUCAAGGUCAUGAGGGGCAAGGAUACAGGGGCAUGAAUGUCAUGUUACAUUAGAAGUCUGAAUCAAGGUCAUGAGGGGCAAGGUUACAGGGAGGAGGACUGUUAUGUUACGUUAGAAGUCUGAAUCAAGGUCAUGAGGGGCAAGGUUACAGGGGCAUGAAGGUUAUGUUACGUAAGAAGUCUGAAUAAAGGUCAUGAGGGGCAAGGUUACAUGGGGGAGGACUUUUAUGUUACAUUACAUGUAGAAGUCUGAAUCAAGGUCAUGAGGGGCAAGGUUACAGGGGGAGGACUUUUAUGUUACAUUAGAAGUCUGAAUCAACGUCAUGAGGGGCAAGGUUACAGGGGCAUGAAUGUUAUGUUACAUAAGAAGUCUGAAUCAAGGUAAUUGGGUCAAGGUUACAGGGAAGAGGACUGUUACGUUACGUUAGAAGUCUGAAUCAAGGUAAUUGGAUCAAGGUUACAGGGGGGGUUGUAGGUUAUGUUAAUGUAGGAGUCUGAAUCAAGGAAAUGGUUAUGUUACUUUUGGAAGCUUAAUCUAUAUAAUGAGGGCUGAAGUAACAGUGGGUGAAGGUUAUUCUACAUAAGGUAUUUGAAUUUAGGCAAUGAGGAUCGUUAGUAAGGAUAUACGUGUCCUGUAGUUAGUAACAACAUCCAUUUAUCCCUUGAUAUUGUAGUUACAAUAAUGUCCCCCUCAUAUUGACUUCAGUUGUCUGCCAGUGUGUCAUGAAAAGUAACAUGUAUGGUGCAAAAGAAAUUCAUUCCUGAGGCGAAAGGUCUCUUUAUUGUGCAAUGUUUUUAAUCAAUGUUAAUUGCUUUGUGUAUCACCAUGACGAUACAUGUAUCAUUGUAAAUAUGUUUAUGUAUGGGUAUAACAAUGACUGUAUGCAGGAGUUGAUGAUAUGUAUAUAUUUAGUUGUCACUGAACUAUUUGUACAAACAAAAUGUACUUGUGUCAGAAAAUUACUCUAGUCCAAAGAAAAACUUUCACAAUCUGUUAAUUAUCAAGCCACCAAACCCAACCACAUUAUGAUAUUUUUCAUGUUUACUCGUUGAUGUUUUAGAUAUUUAUGUUUUAGAUUUUGUGUUUUGUUACUUUUACCUUAUUGCAAAAAGUUCUAGCAGAUUUGAUACAGAUGGUAAUCCAUUUUAUGUGUUGAGUUUUAACAGUUACAGUACAGUUUUAUCAUUAUGCUGUGUUAACGUUGUUAUGUUUGAUUUACCGGUACUUUUUGACAAGUUUGAAUAAAGCCAUAUUAAUGAUGUUUGGAAAUAUGUCGAGCCAGGUGAUCUGUGGUCCUAGACAUUGCCUUCGCACUCUCUCUAUAUAUUAUAUACAUAUACCCAAAGUGUACAGUGUUUUAAGGAAAUGAAAUCUUAAAAACAUAUUGACUUGCCAAUAACUAUAAACAUGAAUAUUUUAGUGCCCUCAGAUUUUAGAGCAUUUUUAAAUUUUAACAGAUUAACACAUUGAUGAAUUGGCUCACCCACAAAAUUUGCAAUCGAAAUAAUAUACAGAAACUUUAAUUGGCCCAAUCAUAAUUUAGCACAAUAUUUAAGACGCCAAAAAUCAGUUUACCGAUAAAAUAUUUACGUUUACAGUAUAACAACCAAAUAGAUUUGUGAGGGGAUAGUUUAUUGUGUUGUCCCAGCACAGUUGGAUUAUUUAGUUCCAGAAAGGACAUGGUUUUGUAUCAAGUUCUUAAAAACUUGUUUACCUUUUCUGUUAAACGUUGGUGUAUGUGAAUCAUCUUGUAAUAAAUAUAUUU
rnacentral:misc_RNA from 1 species